rnacentral:rRNA from 1 species
AGUGAACGCUGGCGGUAGGCCACACAUGCACGUCGCACGGCAGCACAGUAAGAGCUUGCUCUUACGGGUGGCGAGUGGCGGACGGGUGAGGAAUACAUCGGAAUCUACUUUUUCGUGGGGGAUAACGUAGGGAAACUUACGCUAAUACCGCAUACGACCUACGGGUGAAAGCAGGGGAUCUUCGGACCUUGCGCGAUUGAAUGAGCCGAUGUCGGAUUAGCUAGUUGGCGGGGUAAAGGCCCACCAAGGCGACGAUCCGUAGCUGGUCUGAGAGGAUGAUCAGCCACACUGGAACUGAGACACGGUCCAGACUCCUACGGGAGGCAGCAGUGGGGAAUAUUGGACAAUGGGCGCAAGCCUGAUCCAGCCAUACCGCGUGGGUGAAGAAGGCCUUCGGGUUGUAAAGCCCUUUUGUUGGGAAAGAAAAGCAGCAGGUUAAUACCCCGCUGUUCUGACGGUACCCAAAGAAUAAGCACCGGCUAACUUCGUG